GGCCUGAUGGUCUAGUAGUAUGAUUCCUUGUUAGGGUUGUGAUGACAUUUCGAGGAGGUCCCGGGUUCAAUUCCCGGUCAGGCCC